AGCAAGGUACACGCUUUUAUUUAGAGAUGAAGUGAAAGGACAGAGCUCCCGGCUCGCGCGAGGAGGGGACAGGAGAGUCCCGGGUGGUGCGUUGUCGAGGGGCUUUUAUAGGCAGAUGAGGAUUUUUCCAGAACAGGAAAAAAAGCUUAGGGGUGUGGACUUGUUAACUGGUCCUAGGAUAUUUACAAUUAACUUGAUACAAGUAACUCCUGCUCUGUUGAUUUCUCCCCGAGAUACCAGCAUCUUGGUCUCGGGGCAUAUGAAACAAGGCCGCCUGCUCAGUCCCCAGCGCGGGCUGAGGCAUGUUUGCUAAAGAGUAAGUUAAGCGCAGUCUUACCUUUAAGGUGGAAUCUUUCUGGCCUUUUACAGUGUUUUGGCUGGGCCUGCAGCUAAAUUAGUUUGGCCAGUUUGCAAAAUAACUACAUCAGAUCUGAAGAAGGAAAGACAGCACAUAGGCCAGGGCCUUUUAAUAUGUUAAAGUGAAUCUUACACAUGAUUAUAAAUUAUUAGCAUAAAACAUGUGCUACUCUUCCUUAUCUGGGGAAUAUUAACUGAUCUCACUGAAGAAAGACUCGAGAGCUGAAUGUCUAACACAGAGCUUUAGUAGGGGGUUUCCUUGCAUGUAGUUACAUUGCUCUGCCUGCAAAUAUCCGGCCUUGCUUUUUCUGGAGGCCCUCACCCUGCCCUGUCCAAGCCCACCGUCCCUGUCUCAGUCUGGCUUCCCCUGAACUUCCGCUCAGCCCGUCCUUCUGGCCAGGGAGGGGCAUAGAAGAGGUGGACAGGCUGACUGGGCUGCGGUCUUCAAAUGUGUCAGGAAAGCCCUGUAACCGUUAAAGAGCUACCCAGAAACCCCCCAGCAAGAAAACUCCAGACCCAAAGGCAUAAAGCCAGCAUAAUCAUGAUUCCAAAACCUGCAAACCUCUGAGUUCAGGCUCUUCAUUUGAAAAAAGACCCAAAAAAACCAGAUACCAGGAAGUGAGAACUGCUUCCUGAGACUUCUUAGGAUUAAGAUAACUUGUAUUAGGUGAAGUGCUUUGGUACCACAGCAAAUCUUGACACUGUCAUGAGCAAACAUUUGUGUUUUCCUCUUUUUAUCUUUUUAUUCUAGGUUAUAUAAAAAGGAAGGGGAAUUUUAAAGGAAACUGUACAUUUUCAUCUUGUGGAAGAUCAGUAGUUGAUCGAGAAAUGGGUGAGAUACUCAGGAGGUAGACAUUUCAGUGUUGGUGGGCUCCCCUCUGAGCUGGCUGAUGGAACCCCCACAGUGACGCAGGGCCUCCGGACGUGUAUCCCUUUGAAGCCAGAACCCUUUCGGGGCAGCUCCCUGUACACCUGGGCCCAUCAUUUCCCAUGUAUCCCUCUCCCUGCCAUUCUGGGAGCUUCGCAGGAAUAAGGGUCUUGGCUCAGCAGACAUGUGCCGUUUCAGAAGCAGAUGACCUUGGGUGAUGUAGCUGUGGACCUCACCCAGGAGGAGUGGGGGCUGGUGGGCCCUGCCCCGAAGACCCUGUACCAGGACGUGAUGCUGGAGACCUUUGGGCACCUCGACAUUGUGAGUGAGGCUGUUCUCUAUGCUGACCUGCUUCUCUGGUGUCCCAGCACAGACCUUGGGGACCCAGCCAGACAUCAUUGCCCAGCUGGAACUGGGAGUAGAACCACGAAUGAUGGACAAAGGACUCUCCCAAGAUUCCUACCCAGAAUGAAAGAACAGACCUAAAAGCCAUCGCCAUCAACACAGGCCAUUUCUGGUGAGUAGUCAUCCAGCAGCACGAGCCCGACAAAAUCCGCGCUGGGUGACUCCUGAUGCUCCGCUAUAGCGGAGGACUGGGAAUCUGAGGGUGGGUCAGAAAAGGAGAAGACACAUGGCGCCAGUAGACUAUGAAUAUGGGCGAGCAGUGACCCAGGAUGAGGAGCUACAUGCAGAAGUUGUGGGAAAAUGCAGCUUCAAUUCAGACUUAUUUUCUUCACAGAGAUACCUUAUCAAAGAAUAUUUCCAUCAGAUUGACUCAGGAGUUCAAAGGUUACAGCAUACUUCUGUUUUAAAAAAUCAUCAGGAAAUCUUAGUAGGGAAGAAACCCUAUAAAAGCAAUUCAUGUGGAAAAACCUUGAAAAAACUGUAUAAAUUGAAUGUGUGGUAAAUAUAACAACUAGAGCAUAUAUCUUUCUACAUAUGAUAUAAUUAAUACAGGAGAGAAAUUCUGUGAAUGCAAAGAAAGGGGAUUGUUUUACCCGUAGCUUACCCUUCUCUCAGGUCACGAGAUCUCCUACUGGGAGAAACCCCAUGUAGUGGGUGUGGGAAUGCCUCUAAGAAUCUUUCAUC